ACUUAAGUAAUAUAAAAAAUUAUAUUUGAUUUCCAAUCAAAAAAUCUAAAUUUUUAGUUUAAGUA
rnacentral:tRNA from 1 species